GACGAACGCUGCCGGCGUGCUUAACACAUGCAAGUCGUACGGUAAGGCCCUUUCGGGGGUACACGAGUGGCGAACGGGUGAGUAACACGUGAGUAACCUGCCCACAACUUUGGGAUAACGCUAGGAAACUGGUGCUAAUACUGGAUAUGUGCUCCUGCUGCAUGGUGGGGGUUGGAAAGCUCCGGCGGUUGUGGAUGGACUCGCGGCCUAUCAGCUUGUUGGUGGGGUAGUGGCCUACCAAGGCGGCGACGGGUAGCCGGCCUGAGAGGGUGACCGGCCACAUUGGGACUGAGAUACGGCCCAGACUCCUACGGGAGGCAGCAGUGGGGAAUAUUGCACAAUGGGCGCAAGCCUGAUGCAGCAACGCCGCGUGCGGGAUGACGGCCUUCGGGUUGUAAACCGCUUUCAGCAGGGACGAAGCUUUUUGUGACGGUACCUGCAGAAGAAGCACCGGCUAACUACGUG
rnacentral:rRNA from 1 species